ACUCCUACGGGAGGCAGCAGUGGGAAUAUUGGACAAUGGGGGCAACCCUGAUCCAGCCAUGCCGCGUGAGUGAAGAAGGCCCUAGGGUCGUAAAGCUCUUUCAACUGUGAAGAUAAUGACGGUAGCAGUAGAAGAAACCCCGGCUAAGCUCCGUGCCAGCAGCCGCGGUAAUACGGAGGGGUUAGCGUUGUUCGGAAUUACUGGGCGUAAAGCGCACGUAGGCGGACUAUUAAGUUAGAGGUGAAAUCCCAGGGCUCAACCCUGGAACUGCCUUUAAUACUGGUAGUCUUGAGUUCGAGAGAGGUGAGUGGAAUUCCGAGUGUAGAGGUGAAAUUCGUAGAUAUUCGGAGGAACACCAGUGGCGAAGGCGGCUCACUGGCUCGAUACUGACGCUGAGGUGCGAAAGUGUGGGGAGCAAACAGGAUUAGAUACCCUGGUAGACUCUGC
rnacentral:rRNA from 1 species